UACGUAGGCGGCAAGCGUUGUCCGGAAUUAUUGGGCGUAAAGCGCGCGCAGGCGGUCCUUUAAGUCUGAUGUGAAAGCCCACGGCUCAACCGUGGAGGGUCAUUGGAAACUGGGGGACUUGAGUGCAGAAGAGAAGAGUGGAAUUCCACGUGUAGCGGUGAAAUGCGUAGAGAUGUGGAGGAACACCAGUGGCGAAGGCGACUCUUUGGUCUGUAACUGACGCUGAGGCGCGAAAGCGUGGGGAGCAAACAGG
rnacentral:rRNA from 1 species